rnacentral:misc_RNA from 1 species
AUGGGAAUUGGCUCCAAAAUAUUGGAAAAUAAUAUUCAGAAAUCAAUUUCACUUGGAUUCUAUCAUUCACAUUCGGAACUUCGCAAGAGUUUCUACGAAUUUUUCAAAUCGAAAAAUCACGAAAUACUCAGAUCUUCAUCUGUAAUUCCAGACGAAAACGAUGGAACCUUGUUAUUUACAAAUGCUGGAAUGAAUCAGUUCAAGCCAUUAAUUCUAUCAUCAACCGAAUCUAGAAGAGUUGCAAAUAUUCAAAAAUGCAUUAGAGCCGGAGGAAAACAUAACGAUCUCGAUGACGUUGGAAAAGAUUUACAUCAUCAAACAUUUUUUGAAAUGAUGGGCAAUUGGUCGUUCAAUGAUGCAUUCUCAAAAGAGGAAGCAUGUCGAUAUGCAUGGGAAUAUUUGGUGGAAAUUCUAGGAAUCAAUGCAGAUAGAUUGUAUGUUUCCUAUUUCGGUGGAAUCGAGAAGCUCGGAUUACCGGAAGACCGUGAAUGUCGAGAAAUUUGGAAACGAAUUGGAGUAUCGUCAAAUCGAAUUCUUCCAUUUGUCGCUGAGAAUUUUUGGGAGAUGGGUGCAGCUGGUCCGUGUGGUCCUUGCACCGAGAUUCAUUAUGAUAGAAUCGGCGGAAGAGAUGCUUCUCGAUUAGUGAAUAUUGAUGAUUCAGUUGUAGAAAUUUGGAAUAUUGUCUUCAUGAGCAGCGUCAGAGAUUCAUGUGGUCAAAUUCGACAUUUGGGAAAAAACCACAUUGACACAGGAAUGGGAUUCGAACGUCUUCUAUCAGUUGUCCAGAACAAAACUUCAAAUUUUGACACUGACGUGUUCACACCGAUUCUAGAAAAGACCUCCGAGCUGGCAAAAAAGCAAUACACUGGAAGUCUGGAUAGUCGACAAGAUGCCACAUUCCGUCUCGUCGCUGAUCACAUUCGUGCUGCGACUGUGGCGAUCAGCGAUGGAGCUGUACCUGAUGGAACUGGGUGUGGAUUUAUUGUUAGAAAAAUGAUGCGACGAGCUUUUUUGCAAGGAAUUUCGAAACUAGGAAUUGAGAGAUACGCGAUGAGUGAGCUGGUUCCAGUUGUUGCUUCAACGAUGAAAGAAGUCUAUCCAGAAAUCCACGACACAUCCACUCACAUCAGAAAGAUCUUCAACGAUGAAGAAGCUCAAUUCUGGAAGACAGUUGACAAAGCUAAAAAGAUGUUUGAUAGUGUUGCAGCUGAAUCCAAAUCACCAAUAAUAUCAGGAAGAAAAGCGUUCAAUUUAUUCGAAACUCAUGGUUUACCAUUGGCGGUUACUGUGGAAUUGGCAAGAAAUAUUGGAAGAGAAGUCGAUGAAACGGAAUUCGAGAGGUGCCGGUUGGAAGCUCAAAAAGUGUCACAAAAAGCUUCGCAGUUUAAAUUGCCGAUUUCAGCAGACGAUUUUCCGAGCCAUUCAGACAAAGAAAAAUAUUCAAUUCCCUCAAGUCAAAACUCGAAUUCUCCAAGUUUACAAAGAUCAACAAAAAGCGGAAUCACUAGAAGCCAACGAUCGAGGAUUCCUGGUUCUUGAAGAAUGCCAAUUUUACGGAGAACAAGGUGGCCAAACUUCUGACACUGGACACCUUUUGAUUGAUGGAAGAGAAGUUUUCGAAGUGGAAAAUGCCAAAAAAAUUGCCGGUGGAGCUGUUACAGUACUCUUCGGACGAGCUCUCCUCCCAAUUCGACGAGAUUUACGAGUUGAGCAGAAGCUCGACGAAACGAGAAGAGAAGGCGUGAUGAGAGCUCACUCGGCGACCCAUUUGCUCAAUUGGGCUCUGCAAAAACUCGGUGUAGGCUCUGGGCAGAAAGGCUCAUCUGUUGACUGCGAUCGCUUCAGAUUUGACUAUUCCACGGGAGACGAAGAUUUGAGCAAGGAGCAAAGAACGGAACUUUUGAUUAAAUGUGAAAUGAAAAUGAGGGAAUUCAUUCAAAAUGGAGGUUUCACAGAAAUUAUAGAGACGAGUUUGGAAGAAGCAAAGAAAAUCGAAAAUCUGCAAUCUGAUGUGAAAGAGGAUAGAAUUGGAGGCGCUUCAGUGAGAGUUGUGGCUUUAGGCAGUGGAGCUGAUGUGCCAGUGGAGUGCUGUUCUGGAACACACAUCCAUGACGUCAGAGUGAUUGAUGACGUGGCAAUUAUGUCGGACAAGUCAAUGGGUCAAAGGCUUCGAAGAAUUAUAGUCCUCACUGGAAAGGAAGCAGCUGCGUGCAGAAACUAUACAAAAAGCAUUUAUGAAGAUUUAAGGAGUACGGAUCCAAAGGAGAGAUCAAAAACGGGAAAGAACAUCGACUGGAAACGUGUCCCAAUUGCUGAUCAAGCUCGUAUCUCGAUUUUGCUGAAACAGAAGAAAUAA